UACGAAGGGGGCUAGCGUUGUUCGGAAUUACUGGGCGUAAAGCGUGCGCAGGCGGCUGCUCAAGUCAGGGGUGAAAGCCCAGAGCUCAACUCUGGAAUUGCCUUUGAGACUGAGUGGCUUGAGUACGGGAGAGGUGAGUGGAAUUCCCAGUGUAGAGGUGAAAUUCGUAGAUAUUGGGAAGAACACCGGUGGCGAAGGCGGCUCACUGGCCCGUAACUGACGCUCAUGCACGACAGCGUGGGGAUCAAACAGG
rnacentral:rRNA from 1 species